GCUGGUGUGGCUCAGCGGUAGAGCAGCGCAUUCGUAAUGCGCAGGUCAGGGGUUCGAAUCCCCUCACCAGCUCCA
rnacentral:tRNA from 1 species